AUUGAACGCUGGCGGCAUGCCUAACACAUGCAAGUCGAACGGCAGCACAGCAGUAGCAAUACUGUGGGUGGCGAGUGGCGGACGGGUGAGGAAUACGUCGGAAUCUGCCCAGUCGUGGGGGAUAACUAGCCGAAAGGUUAGCUAAUACCGCAUACGACCGAGAGGUGAAAGCGGGGGACCGCAAGGCCUCGCGCGAUUGGAUGAGCCGACGUCGGAUUAGCUAGUUGGCGGGGUAAAGGCCCACCAAGGCGACGAUCCGUAGCUGGUCUGAGAGGAUGAUCAGCCACACUGGAACUGAGAUACGGUCCAGACUCCUACGGGAGGCAGCAGUGGGGAAUAUUGGACAAUGGGCGCAAGCCUGAUCCAGCAAUGCCGCGUGUGUGAAGAAGGCCUCGGGUUGGUAAAGUACGUCUUUCGGUUGGGGGUAAGGAAAGUUA
rnacentral:rRNA from 1 species